rnacentral:rRNA from 1 species
UACGUAGGGUGCAGGCGUUAAUCGGAAUUACUGGGCGUAAAGCGUGCGCAGGCGGUCUGCUAAGAGAGGUGUGAAAUCCCCGGGCUUAACCUGGGAACUGCGCUUCUAACUGGCAGGCUAGAGUGUGGCAGAGGGGGGUGGAAUUCCACGUGUAGCAGUGAAAUGCGUAGAGAUGUGGAGGAACACCGAUGGCGAAGGCAGCCCCCUGGGCUAACACUGACGCUCAUGCACGAAAGCGUGGGGAGCGAACAGG